UACGUAGGGGGCAAGCGUUGUCCGGAAUCAUUGGGCGUAAAGCGCGUGUAGGCGGCCAGAAAAGUCCGCUGUGAAAACUCGAGGCUCAACUUCGAGCUGUCGGUGGAAACUUUCUGGCUAGAGUCCGGAAGAGGAGAAUGGAAUUCCUGGUGUAGCGGUGAAAUGCGCAGAUAUCAGGAGGAACACCAAUGGCGAAGGCAGCACUCUGGGACGUGACUGACGCUGAGACGCGAAAGCGUGGGGAGCAAACAGG
rnacentral:rRNA from 1 species